UUUAUGGAGAGUUUGAUCCUGGCUCAGGAUGAACGCUGGCGGCGUGCCUAAUACAUGCAAGUCGAGCGAACAGAUAAGGAGCUUGCUCCUUUGACGUUAGCGGCGGACGGGUGAGUAACACGUGGGUAACCUACCUAUAAGACUGGAAUAACUCCGGGAAACCGG
rnacentral:rRNA from 1 species